UAGGUGGUUAUGAUUAGAGUCAUUGC
rnacentral:sRNA from 1 species